rnacentral:rRNA from 1 species
AGAGUUUGAUCCUGGCUCAGAAUCAACGCUGGCGGCAUGCCUUAUACAUGCAAGUCGAACGCGAAAGCGGACUUCGGCCCGCAAGUAGAGUGGCAAACGGGUGAGUAACACGUGGGUGACCUACCUUCGAGUGGGGGAUAACCCUCCGAAAGGAAGGCUAAUACCGCAUAACAUCCUGCCUUUGGACGGGCGGUGAUCAAAGUUGGGGAUCGUAAGACCUGGUGCUUGUAGAGGGGCCCGCGUCCGAUUAGCUUGUUGGUGGGGUAACGGCUCACCAAGGCGUCGAUCGGUAGCCGGCCUGAGAGGGCGGACGGCCACACUGGGACUGAGAUACGGCCCAGACUCCUACGGGAGGCAGCAGUGGGGAAUUGUUCGCAAUGGGCGCAAGCCUGACGACGCAACGCCGCGUGGAGGACGAAGGCCUUCGGGUCGUAAACUCCUGUCAAGCGGGAAGAAUAGUACAUCGGUCAAUACCCGGAGUAUCUGACGGUACCGUGAGAGGAAGCCCCGGCUAACUCAGUGCCAGCAGCCGCGGUAAUACUGGGGGGGCGAGCGUUGUUCGGAUUUACUGGGCGUAAAGGGCUCGUAGGCGGCCACUUAAGUCGGUUGUGAAAUCCCUCGGCUCAACCGAGGAACUGCGACCGAAACUGAAUGGCUUGAAGCCGGGAGAGGGAUGCGGAAUUCCAGGUGUAGCGGUGAAAUGCGUAGAUAUCUGGAGGAACACCCGUGGCGAAGGCGGCAUCCUGGACCGGUCUUGACGCUGAGGAGCGAAAGCUAGGGGAGCGAACGGGAUUAGAUACCCCGGUAGUCCUAGCCGUAAACGAUGAAUGCUUGGUGUGGCGGGUAUCGAUCCCUGCCGUGCCGGAGCUAACGCGUUAAGCAUUCCGCCUGGGGAGUACGGUCGCAAGGCUGAAACUCAAAGGAAUUGACGGGGGCCCGCACAAGCGGUGGAGCAUGUGGUUUAAUUCGACGCAACGCGAAGAACCUUACCUGGGUUUGACAUUAUGGGAAAAACUGUAGAGAUACAGUGUGCGUAAGCGUCCAUGACAGGUGGUGCAUGGCUGUCGUCAGCUCGUGUCGUGAGAUGUUGGGUUAAGUCCCGCAACGAGCGCAACCCUCGUCCCAUGUUGCCAGCACGUAAUGGUGGGGACUCAUAGGAGACUGCCGGGGACAACUCGGAGGAAGGUGAGGACGACGUCAAGUCAGCAUGCCCCUUAUAUCCAGGGCUGCACGCAUGCUACAAUGGCCGGUACAACGGGCAGCGACCCCGCGAGGGUGAGCGAAUCCCUUAAAGCCGGUCUCAGUUCGGAUUGAAGUCUGCAACUCGACUUCAUGAAGCCGGAGUCGCUAGUAAUCGUGGAUCAGCUAUGCCGCGGUGAAUACGUUCUCGGGGCUUGUACACACCGCCCGUCACAUCACGAAAGUUGGCAAUGCCCGAAGUCAGUGGUCCAACCCUUUUGGGAGGAAGCUGCCGAAGGUAGGGUCAGCGAUUGGGAUGAAGUCGUAACAAGGUAACC